GGACCCGGCGCUGCCUGGCAAUGAGUGCCCGAGGUAUUCGUUCCAUCAGGGCCUCCGUGCUACAUUCCGAAUGACAUGUCCACGUUUGCCACGGACGAGGAUGACAGAUGGAGAAAAAUCAUCUUUGACCCUUGAAAUUCGGUCACGUUUUAUGGGGUAAGAGCCUGGGCACAGAAGGCGUUGUUGGCGGGAGCCCAGAGAUGCCUUGAAAUGGGCAAGUUCUGCGUCUUGUAGCUUUGGGACCUAAGAGCCCCCUUCCCAAACGACUGGUUUAUCAAAGCAAUGAAAACGGCAUUUAAACGUUUAGGUUUUCUUUCGCAUUAAGGCACAACUUACAUUGACUAAACAGUGCAUGACUUAA